UGCCUACGGGUGGCAGCAGCUAAGAAUAUUCCGCAAUGGACGGAAGUCUGACGGAGCGACGCCGCGUGGAUGAAGAAGGCCGAAAGGUUGUAAAGUUCUUUUACUGGGGAAGAAUAAGCCUGGGAGGGAAUGCCUGGGUGAUGACAUGAACCGGUGAAUAAGCCCCGGCCAACUACGUGCCAGCAGCCGCGGUAACACGUAGGGGGCGAGCGUUGUUCGGAAUUACUGGGCGUAAAGGGCAUGUAGGCGGUCUGGUAAGCCUGGCGUGAAAGUCUGCAGCUUAACUGCGGGAAUGCGCUGGGAACUGCUGGGCUUGAGUGACGGAGAGGGAGCUGGAAUUCCUGGUGUAGGGGUGAAAUCUGUAGAUAUCAGGAAGAACACCGAUGGCGAAGGCAAGCUCCUGGCCGAUGACUGACGCUGAGGUGCGAAAGUGUGGGGAUCAAACAGGAUUAGAUACCCUAGUAGUCUU
rnacentral:rRNA from 1 species